rnacentral:rRNA from 1 species
AUUGCCUAGUACGGCGAGUGAACAGGCAAGAGCUCAGAUUUGAAAGGCACUUUUGUGCCGUUGUAUUCUGAAGUUAGGGUCCUGAGAAACGAUGCUUAAGUCUUCUGGAAAGGAGCGCCAUGGAGGGUGAUAGCCCCGUCUAGCAUUGACCUCAUAUAGGAUCUUAACAUGGAGUCGAGUUGUUUGGGAAUGCAGCUCAAAUGGGUGGUAUGCUCCAUCUAAAGCUAAAUAUCUGCGAGAGACCGAUAGUAAACAAGUACUGUGAGGGAAAGAUGAAAAGAACUUUGAAAAGAGAGUGAAAAAGUACGUGAAAUUGUUGAAAUGGAAGGGUAGGCCGCUAACCAUGUAGAGCCGUGUUUGGGGGGAAGAUAAAUGCUGUAGAAUGUAGCUCCUCGGAGUAUUAUAGAUGCAGUUCAUAUUCCCACCCGAGCGCGAGGAUCUCAGGUUCUACUAAAUGGUGGUCUACCACCCGUCUUGA